rnacentral:rRNA from 1 species
ACUCAAAGGAAUUGACGGGGGCCCGCACAAGCGGUGGAGCAUGUGGUUUAAUUCGAUGCUACGCGAAGAACCUUACCAGGUCUUGACAUCUUCUGCCAACCUAAGAGAUUAGGCGUUCCCUUCGGGGACAGAAUGACAGGUGGUGCAUGGUUGUCGUCAGCUCGUGUCGUGAGAUGUUGGGUUAAGUCCCGCAACGAGCGCAACCCUUAUUGUUAGUUGCCAGCAUUCAGUUGGGCACUCUAGCAAGACUGCCGGUGACAAACCGGAGGAAGGUGGGGAUGACGUCAAAUCAUCAUGCCCCUUAUGACCUGGGCUACACACGUGCUACAAUGGACGGUACAACGAGUUGCGAAACCGCGAGGUCAAGCUAAUCUCUUAAAGCCGUUCUCAGUUCGGAUUGUAGGCUGCAACUCGCCUACAUGAAGUUGGAAUCGCUAGUAAUCGUGGAUCAGCAUGCCACGGUGAAUACGUUCCCGGGCCUUGUACACACCGCCCGUCACACCAUGAGAGUUUGUAACACCCAAAGCCGGUGAGGUAACCUUCGGGGACCAGCCGUCUAAGGUGGGACAGAUGAUUAGGGUGAAGUCGUAACAAGGUAAC